rnacentral:pre_miRNA from 1 species
UGAUGGUGAUGAUGAUGAUGAUGGUGAUGAUGAUGAUGAUGAUGGUGAUGAUGAUUCUUAUCGUCAUCGUCGUCAUCAUCACCAUCAUAAGUAUUU